rnacentral:lncRNA from 1 species
UGAUCAACAGAGACCACGUGAUAUGGCUCUUGACGGAGAAGCGUGUUAAAUGUCUUACCUUCCACCUGGACCUUCCAUUAUGACAUCACUUUCUUACAAGAAGAUUCACAGAUGGCAUCGGGGGGGAAAGGCUCCUGCUCAGCCUUGCCCCCCGCCUUGCCAUUUUAUGUUUCUGGUCCCUGAUCACCACAGCGUUUGGGAUGCUGGUUAUAUGGGGAUGUCAAACCAUGUACAACUUGGCUGGCCACUCCUGAUGCCCUCUUGCUACUGCAGUGCUUCUGAGCCCAAGAAAUCAACCACAGGGUGUUAAGGCUAAUGCCUGUUCCCUCCUUAUACUGCAGUGGGCCUCCAGGGUCUGGGGUCCACACAGCAGUACCAGACUCAGCUCUCUCCCCCUUCCAGCUGAGGGGUCUGUUCUAGGAUUCCUCCAGAAGCUCACGUGCUGAAUGAGUCUACAUGCCCUAAUCUCCCAAUGGGCAGUUCUGUGUGCACCAAGUUGUUGCUAUGGAAUUAAACUUGUAUUGCCUCUUCUUCCUAUAUCCCACGGCCCCCAGAUGGUUAUAAAACUAGUCGUUCAUCGCCUCACUUACUUUUGAUAAUCAUGGAAAGCUGUGGGGUAGCGUCUUGAGAUGCAGCUGGGGUUUGUGAGGCCGAGGAAACCUGACUUCAGGCCGCAGGCAUAUCCCCUUAGCUGUGCCGGCCCUGUUGUCAACUCUAGCUUGUCUGGCAUAACUAUUAAAAUAUAGGAUCUCCUGGGGCGCCUGGGUGGCUCAGUUAAGUGUACAACUUCAGCUCAGGUCACGAUCUCACAGUUCAUGGGUUCGAGCCCCACGUUCGGCUCUGUGCUGACAGCUCAGAGCCUGGAGCCUGCUUCAGAUUCUGUGUGUGUGUGUCUCUCUCUCUGUGUCCCUCCUCCACUCAUGCUCUCUCUCUCUCUCUCUCUCUCUCAAGAAUAAAUAAAAAUUUUUAAAAAUUAAAAAAGUAAGGAAUGUCCUAUCACAUUCCCUCCUGAGAAACAUAUUUUGGGAAAUACCGACUUAUAUAAACAGGAUUUCAGGAACUUAUGGCCCAGCGAUAAUCUCAUCCAGAUUCCUUCCUUUCAUAGAAAUGAGGCUCAGAGAAGAAAUGUGAUAGCCAUGAUCACAGCUCCUCACAGCAUUCCCCUUGAAUUCACUAUGAUCCUCAUUCUACAGAAAACUGAGACCACCUUGGCUAAGUGACUAUGAUCACCCAGCUAGCAGAGUUGGGACUUCCAGAACUGUUCUUACCUGUUACCCUAAGAUGAAUUUUGAAGGUAGGCAAUUCUAAGUCUUAUUCUAAUACCACACAUAGGCCAUAUUCCAUUUCCUUCCACGGUGUAGACUGUAGGAGCCAUUCUUCAAUAUAUCAAAAAUCGACACUCUUCCCCUUAGGGGCUGGGUGUCUGAAUCAACCCAAUUCUGUUCUAUACAUGAAAUGUUCCAUCCCGAAUGGUUCAGGAGAAAAUAAGAUAUUAAAUGGAAAUAUGCAUAAAAUUUGCAAAACCAAAUGAAUCCCCAGCCUGCUGGAGUAUUUAUUUAAGCAAUAAACAUAUAAGAAGCAGACUAUUUGUUUGCUUCAGAUGUACGAAAGCCCUGAAGACUCCGGAUUUAAACGUAAAACACUGAAUUUACAUUUAAGAUUUAUAUUUAUGUCCUAACAUAUGUACUCAUUCAAUAUUAUGAUAAGGUUAGAAAUGAAACAGGUUAUUAUAGUCUGCAGACAAGGGACAAACCAAAUCUUUCAUUAAAAGCCCAGUAUCCAAUGAGAUCAACUGAAUUAGAAAUUCUUUAUUCCCGGGGCACCUGGGUGGCUCUGUCGGUUAAGCGCCCGACUUGGGCUCAGGUCAUGAUCUCACGGUUCAUGGGUUCGAGCCCCACAUCAGGUUCUCUGCUGUCCGCACGGAGCCUGCUUUGGAUCCUCUGUCCCCCUCUUUCUCUGCCCUUCCCUUGUUUGUGCUCUCUCUCUCUCAAAAAUAAAAUAAACAUUAAAAAAAAAUUUUUUUUUAAAGAAAUUCUUUAUUCCCAGCAGACUGCAAGUUCUUCAAAGACAAUCAUUCCAAGACCCGCUGACAGUAAAAUGAGGACUAUUUUGAAAAGGCUGUUGUUGGGGCGCCUGGGUGGCGCAGUCGGUUAAGCGUCCGA